rnacentral:rRNA from 1 species
UUAUUAUAGCAAAGAGGAUACACCUGUUCCCAUUCCGAACACAGAAGUUAAGCUCUUAAGCGGCGAUGGUACUUGGGGGGCGACCCCCUGGGAGAGUAG